GCGCAGCAGGCGCGAAUACUUUACAAUGUGCGAAAGCACGAUAAGGGAACUCUGAGUGCCUCCUAAGGAGGCUGUUCAGGUGUCUAAAAGCACCUGAAGGAAGGGCUGGGUAAGACCGGUGCCAGCCGCCGCGGUAACACCGGCAGCCCAAGUGGUAGCCACGUUUAUUGGGUCUAAAGCGUCCGUAGCCGGCUGGGUAAGUUCCUUGGGAAAUUUGGCUGCUUAACAGUCAAGCUUUCAGGGAAUACUGCCCGGCUUGGGGACCGGGAGAGGUCAGAGGUACUCCAGGGGUAGGGUGAAAUCCAUUAAUCCUUGGGGGACCACCGGUAGCGAAGGCGUCUGACCAGACCGGGUCCGACGGUGAGGGACGAAGGCUAGGGGCGCGAACCGGAUUAGAUACCCCCGUAGUU
rnacentral:rRNA from 1 species